GUGCCAGCAGCCGCGGUAAGACAGAGGGGGCAAGCGUUGUCCGGACUGACUGGGCGUAAAGCGCGCGCAGGCGGUCAGAGGCGUCGGUGCUCAAAGUCCACCGCUUAACGGUGGGAGGCGUGCCGAUACGCUCUGACUGGAGGGCGGGCGAGGGUGGUGGAAUUGCCGGUGUAGUGGUGAAAUGCGUAGAGAUCGGCAGGAACACCAGUGGCGAAGGCGGCCACCUAGCCCGCACCUGACGCUGAGGCGCGACAGCGUGGGGAGCGAACUGGAUUAGAUACCCUGGUAGUCC
rnacentral:rRNA from 1 species